CUUCUUGGCCUUUUGGCUAAGAUCAAGUGUAGUAU
rnacentral:snRNA from 1 species